rnacentral:rRNA from 1 species
GGAAUUGUUCGCAAUGGGCGCAAGCCUGAUGACGCAAUGCCGCGUGGAGGAUGAAGGUCUUCGGAUUGUAAACUCCUGUUGCCAGGGACGAAUGGCUCCGACCUAAUACGUCGGAGAAUGACGGUACCUGGUGAGGAAGCCCCGGCUAACUCUGUGCCAGCAGCCGCGGUAAUACCGAGGGGGCAAGCGUUGUUCGGAAUUACUGGGCGUAAAGCGCACGUAGGCGGCUUUGUAAGUUAGAGGUGAAAGCCCGGAGCUCAACUCCGGAACUGCCUUUAAGACUGCAUCGCUUGAACGUCGGAGAGGUAAGUGGAAUUCCGAGUGUAGAGGUGAAAUUCGUAGAUAUUCGGAAGAACACCAGUGGCGAAGGCGACUUACUGGACGACUGUUGACGCUGAGGUGCGAAAGCGUGGGGAGCAAAC